ACCUGAGUAAUCUUUGCUAGUCCCAACUCAGCCAGGACUGGUCUUAGAGAGAGUGAUGGGCAAGAUUCGUAUUUUCGCGUCUCCCUCUGGUCUCCU
rnacentral:pre_miRNA from 1 species